AAGAGGUUCUCCAGGAAUAUCACACAACACAAACUCUAACAGAUGCUACCAGAAGAAAAAUGGUCAAUAUAAUAGUGGCUCACAUGAUUGAUUGCCAUGGGCACCUCCCCACCAAAGCUGUUAGAGAACAGUACGCGCUAGGGGUAGUGACAUUGUUCCCAUCCCUGAAAGACCCAUACUCCAAGAAAGGCUAUGAACACUUCUAUGAUGCUGCAAGCAGCACUGGAUACAUUUCUUGGCGUUUGAAAACGAUACAGAGAAAGACUAGAAGAGGAUCUGCACCACCAAGUAGCUCCA